ACCACUGCAGCCAAGAAGAGUGCCUGACGAGCCCAGUUCUGUCAAUGUAUACCAGCAGAACUGAACUCCCUGCCUCCAACCUAAUCAUUUCCCAGUCCAGACUGAGUAAGCACCAAAGAAGGGAACUCCGCCCUGACAGACAGAGUGAGUAAGUCACCGAAAGCAAUCAUUUGUCUUUGUUCUGCACAGCAGGCAUUAUUUUGUCCUGUGUGUAAGCAUUUGUCUUUCUUCAUCAUCAUCUAAUACAGCGAAGCUUUGACAGCCCUCAUUCUGCUCUAGAACCCUUCUUGUCGUCUGCAUCUCGCUCAUGACAGCCCCCGCAGCAGAGUCCUAUGCAAACAUGUAGGAAUGUAUGAGAAAUAUACCCUCCUGGAAUGCCCCUGGCAAUCAUUGCCGGCCAGCGAACGAGCAAGAAGGCGGUCACAUGUCUUCACAAAGGUCCAGGCAACUUUACAGCAUUCUCAAUCACUCAUCGAUGGUCCCUUUUUUUUGCAGUCAACUGUGGGUUCUGUGCAGCGAGAGAAAGUAAAUGUAGCAUUGCCAGAAACACCGCACAGCGCUGCCGCGCUUCUCCGAAUAGGAGCAAUGCCCUCCAGGCACCCCUAGUCUGGGCUCAAAGCCUCCAAUAUCUGGCAGCAGUUGUUAGUGUGCUCAAGGGGUGGAAGGAUAUUCAAACUUUCAUCCCCGGUUAAAAAUAGGCUGGCCCUCACAAAAAAGAAGGCCCUGCUAAUAAUCACAGCUCUGUACUAGCUGUCUGAAGCAUCUGGUCUGAGAAUGUGUCAUUUUUUAGGAGGGGCCUGGGAAACUGUAGACACCAUGCUUGCUGCCCAGAAUAAGAACCAUGGGAAUGAUUGAAGGGGUCUUUUUUUGUGUGUGUGGGCCGCUGAAGUAGGACUAGCCUGUCUGCAGGAUUGGACAGCCUUCCUUGCUGCCUCCCGGCUGCCAAGUCAGGCAUAACUCACUUAAUGGCUGGUUUGCCAGAAACAGAUGAUUUUAUGGUAACACAUAAAUGGCUGGGGACACAAUGAGGUCAGGGACUCGUGGACAUGGGAGCGAUGUCAACUCUUGAAGGUCAAAAAGAAAUCUUAUAUCGACAAGAGAGCAUUUCAGCUGCUUGCGGCACAUGUAUUCAUGUAAAUUAAACACUGGGACAUUAGAUUUGGGCUAUUAUUCCAGAUAUUUUCUUUAAACUUGACUAUUACAUGGUGAGAGUUAUUUUCUUCUUUUGAAUAUGUCUAGACACGACUUGAUUGAGAAGAUCCAUGCCAUUGUCAUGUUUAUAUGUGUGGUAAAUGGAGCUGCUAGCCAUUUAGGAAAUAGACCUGCAUUUGAUUAAGAUUAAAAAUAUGUAUUUUUUGUAUGUAAAUAUGUAGAUUUAUGUAUGUAGAUUUUGUUAUGCAUAAGAAGGAAGAGCUGUUGCCCUCAUUUCUAGUCUUUAUAUGAAUCUAAGCUUUCUGGGGUCUAAACAAAAUCACAUAAAAUGAUAAAAUUGUUCAAUUCACAACGUGCCAGUGGACUUAAAACAGUUUAAAAAAGGAAGAAAAUUUGUUUUGUUUUUUUCUGUGUUUUAAAGUGGAAUGUACUACUAAAUAAAUGUGUCAUUGUUACUGACUAAUUCCAAAUAAACCACUUUGUCUGUUUAGUUUAUAUAUUAUAUAGUGUGAGAAUGCUCAAGUAUUACCACUAUUCUUAAUUUACAGGAACUGUGACAGGUGCACUGUGAAUUGCCUUUUCUUGAGGAAGCAAAGUUGCUGCUGUCAUUAACCUGGCUAACAAUUAGCUUUUAAAACAGAGAGAGGUGUUCAUGGGAGACAAACUGGUUAAUGAGUUGUCAGACCAGUACUUGGCUUGAAAAGCCUCCAGAGCUGAACCUGGGAGUGAUGAAAACCAUCGCAGAGCAAAACAUCACAAAUUGUCUGAAUAGAACAUCCGUGAUUUUCAACUUACAUAACCUGUUGUACUUUUAUUUAUUUAUGUUUGUGACCCAGUAGUUUUGAAACCGAGUGAAGGUUCACUUUUAUUGUUCUGAAAAUAACCAUUACAGAAAUGCUAGGUGUUAAAUUUUACCAAUAAAUGGCAUUAAUUUGCAAGCUAAUGCGAAUAAUGCAUGAACAAAUCCAUUUUAUCGUGUGAACGAGCCAAAGCUUUUCAGCAGUGCUGCAGUUUUAAUCAGUCCAAAUUUCUGUUUAAAUGGAUAUAUUACUUGUUUGUUUUUGUAACUGUAUAUUACUUACCCCAUUACUUGUGUUUAAAUACUCGAGAUAUAAACAGUUUUUGUAUUUUUCUCUAAAUCUAACAUCUUAUAUUUUAAAUGAAACUUUGCACAUGUUUGCCAACAGUUGUAUCCAAUAUAAACCUGGCUUGUUGCUAUGCUAAUCAGUUAUGAUCUGUUAUGGAUUUUCAAUUUUUCUCGCUCAUUAUGGAGUAUGCCAUAAUGAGCAAAUGACAAACUGUGAAUGAUGUACUUGAUUUAUUUUUGGAUUAUGGCCCUGCUGAGUAUAAAACUGUCAUAAAUGAACAGAGGAUGACCACAAAAGCUUUAUGUCCGUAAUUUGUGAAGAAUUAACAAAGACACAUGCAGUCUCUGUCACGUAGUGAAACUCGUGACUUUUGACACCCACUGACCCACAAAAACACAAGUACACUUGGAGCUGCUGGACAAAUUCAGACCGUUUAAUAUACAACUGUAUCAGAGACAUACAGCAUAGAAAGUGAAACGCUGCUUUUUGUGUUAUAAUGUGACACAAAUUUUGGAGAGAUUCUUUCAUAUGAAACAACGUUUUUUCUCUCACUUCUGGCUCUAUUCUGAAAAAAAGUUGUAUAAUGACUGGCUGGGUGAAAAGUUUAACAUCAAUAGCACUUUAAAUGAAAAAUGAUGGAAGUAGGACAAAUACAAUAUGGCUUUAAAAAGACAUUUUUUAAAUUGCUUUGGAGAAUAUUAAUGUAAAAUCAUGUCUGAUGACACUUUUUUUUUCUAAAUUUGUACAUUUUGUACUUUCCUGGUAAAUAACCUUGCGGUAUUGUACAACUUUAAAAAUCUAUCAGCUUGUGUGUUUCUCCUGAGAUUCAAGUGUUGACAAUGAUCAUGUGUGUCAGUACCACCUGACCUUUUUUUCCAAUAAAAAUAAAUCACAUAUAAAGUCCAAAUCUGUUACUCCAUAGUUAGUGUAUAACCACAAAUGAAGAAUUCACAGGAGGUGAAUCAACACACAACUCCCUUAUAAGAACAAAAAGUACAUAGGAAUAAGAAUGAUUAGUUAAUUAAUCAAUGAAAAUUUUUACAGCUUUUGUUGAGUUUGUAAAUCUGUGCUUAUUUUGAUAUUUUUCACUUCUAAUAGUUCUGCGGAGGUGAGAAAGAUUGCAGUACAUUGAAGGAGCUCUGUAUGUG